UAGUAUUGGGGUGUUAUCCUGGGACUCAAC
rnacentral:piRNA from 1 species